CUGAAAUCUCUUUCCUGGAAGUAAACCCAGACUGUGGGACAGUUCAUAUCAGGUUGUACGUCAGGAGAUGAUGUUGUUCUAAGAAUGGCCUUUUGAAGAUGGAGGCAGGGGUUGCAAGUCCUGAACGCUAGCGAUGUCUGGGAGUGGGCUGCAAUGUUAGUGAGACCAUAUUCUGGAAGGUCGUCUUUCAGGAAGCUUUAAAUGACACUGUGAACUGGCGGCAAAGAAGAAUCAGCUAGCAGCUGCAGAUCUCAAGUAGUGACCAGACUGUGUGGAAACUUUCUCCAUGCUAACAUUCCUCGGGGGUGGUGUCAAGUGUCAUCAUCUGUAGGAAAGCAGUGUGUCGUACAAUGAAUCAUACCCAUCAACGUGGUAGUGCCAUUUCAUGGCCCUCGUCUUUGCAAGCCUGG